GCCCGUGCUGGAGAUCUCCUCGCUGCUCUCCGAUAAGUGCCCACAGUCCAUCGGUGACGUGCCCGGCACGGAGGGCCCUGCAAGCGACAGGAGAUGCUGCGGUGGGCUGGAGCCAGCAGCCCUGUUCUGAAAACAAGAUGUUUCCUGAAAUUGAUAUUCAGUAAGCAAACAAGAAUUUUUGCUUCAUCCAGAGAAAGGCAGCUAUUUUUAAUCAGAACAAAUAAUCAGAAGAAACAAAACUCAUAGAAUGGAAAGUGAGUGACUGGAUUGAAGAGGAAAUGUGAAAUAAGGUCUUCUACAGUCAACUGCAGAAAACAAAAAGAAAAAAGGAUUAAUUCAAUAUCCCAAGUCAAACCAUAUGUAUUUAAUAUUCUGUGUGACUGAUUACACUUUCCAAUAUAUCUCGUUAUAGAAAACAGUGUAUUGAACCUUAAGGUAAAAUACCUCAAAUUUGAUAAUUGAGAAUGCAAAACCUUGAAUGGAGUUAUGGAAGGUGCUGCAAACACUGAUGAAGGUUUUAGAAAAUACUAAAUGCAUGUCAUCUGACUGCAAUUUCUUAAAUAUUAAAACAGGUAUUCCCAGUCAGGUAGAGUUAUUUGAAAAUGAAUAGAGUUAUUUGAAAAUGAAUAAAAUUCAAUUACAUAGCACCUUCUUACAUCAGUAGUUAUUCAGAAGACCAUUUCAAAACCAUUGCCAUUUACAUAUGGCUUCCAAACAAUGUGUAGAUUCCAACUAUUUUAGGGCUGGUGCAGGUAGGCAGAGCAUCAGCCUUCAUGUCUUCAAAAAUAACAUAUUAAUUAAUCUUCUGAAAGCAACAGUGUAAGUGCACCCAAUUUUAUUUUAUAAAUAUAGUAAUUCGAACACUUUUGAAUAAUUUCAAGUUGGAUGUCUGGAUCCAAGUCCUGCAAGAUGGCAAGACAUGCUGUUAUGUCAUUUAUAUUUUAAUCAGCAGUCAGCUCUGUAACAAGCACCACCUUCCCACCAUUUUAAAAAAACUUCAAAGUUGUAUUUCAGGUUUUGCUUGAGUUUCAAAACUAAUUUGUUUUCCCAUUUGAAGAACAGGUUGCCUUUAAACCUCAAAAAGGGCUUAAGGCUUUUUUACCUCCCAGACAUUUUUUUUUUAUUCACAAGUUUAAAACUUGGACUUCUGCUAGACAUGUAUCUUGCAAAGGCCUUUAAAAGGACUGACAAUAUACAGAGAUCAAACAAGUAUCAACAAAUAGAUUUUAAAAGUCUGAUGUAUUUCGUGCAUAUUUAUUCUAGAAUGCCCAACAUUUUUAGAAUAUGGAAGUAAAUGUGAAUAUUUACACAAUCAAAAUGCACUAGCUACUCCUUUCCAUAAUUCUGGGAGAUUGGGAUGUGAGGAAAAAAAAGGAUAUAUGAACUAGUGCUAAAAUUAAAUUUUAUAUUUGAAAAGCUCAAUUUCCACUCAAGUCUUUUGGACUCAUCACUGGUACAAGUGUCUUCUUAUAUAAUUCUUAAUAUAUUUAGUUUUAGAUUUAAUUUUAUGAUUUCUGUAAGUUUUAAAUAAGGAUUGAUUAGUUUGCUUAUAAAAUUCUACAUAGGCUGCAUGUUCAUCAGUCAUUCUUUCAUUACUUUUGUUCCUGGCAAGUCUGGAGGCUUUCCAAUUCCUUAAGAAACAUCUUUUCAUUUCUUGAAUUUCUUUCCCAUCCAGAAAUUCUGCAAAAGAGAACACUUUCUGUGAUACAAAGUGAACUAAAGGGCUAUACAAAGUUGUAGGUAAUGUGUAUUGGUUCUAUAUUAAUCCUCUUCAAGUCUUUUUUUCUUUUUCAAGUAUUUUGGUAAAGAAAAUAAUACCCAGUAAAGACUGAUAAUCAAAUUCAAGCUGCAAGAGAGAGUUAACAUGCCUUAAUUACAAAAAAAAAAACCUACAGCUUUUAUAAAUUUCCAGGGAAAUAUACAUAUUUUACAUUUGGUUAAAAUGCAAGACUUUCUAUAACAUUCUGCAGAAAAGUUAUGCUCUUACACAGGGCAUAGAUAGAUGCAGAAAUCCAGGUGGAGAGGGAAACUGCAUGUCUUAGCAAUCAUGGAAUUCCACUGAUCAUAGAGACAGUCAGAGAGAUUUGCCUCUCUAAGGUUAACUGUACUCACUUAGGUGCCAUAAACCUUAUGCUCUAUGAUUCAUUGGUUGCAUCUGUAUUUUUGAGCCAGCCCAAAUGAAAUACCUCAUGUGGCCACAAAUUUAGGUUGAAUUAGAACUGUCCUAAAGCACUAUUAUUUUCAUUGUGCAGAUAGGCUUUUUCUAAAUGGCCAGUAUUUCAUGCUCUGAGAAAAAACAAGUUCUGUAAUUAUAACUUUAAAAUAAAUGCCACCUUUAUCCAAAAAAGUAAAAAAUUAGCAGAUUUUUAAACUUAUUUCUACAGUAUAAAUAUUUAGAUACAGAAGAAUCAGUUUCUUCCUUUCAUGGUAAAAUUUUAUGCAAAAUAACAAUAUAAACUGCACCAUAAGGGCUAAGAUUAAUAAAUACAUGCACAACAUAAAGUGUGAACUGCUUAUAAUGAUAUUGAGUGGAAGGAUGAAUGUUAUAUGACAAAUUCAAACACAGUAAGAUGAGAUCUGCACAACUACCACUGUACAAUCAAAACACUUCAGCAACUACUAUAAAUUGAUAGGGGAACAGAUGAAACAGAUCUUUGAAAAUCAGUUUCACAACAUCUGGAAUAUGAACACAAAAACUGUCUUGUAACAAUCUCACCAAUCAUCUAUUAUAAAACAAAUAAUUACUACUACUAAUACCAAAAGCCAAACAAGAUGGCUUGUGAAGCUGAUUACAUAAGCAGUUUUAGCUUUCUACAUAAAUUAAAAAUUCAUGAUUUGAUAUAAAUAUCUAUAGCUGUGUUUACAUGCAUAGCACUACUCAAGAACAAUUAAUUUUUCAGUUGUUUCCUAAAAGAGUGGGGGUUAUGGGUGGGCUAUUGAUUUAAUUUUUUACCUAAAGUCAGUGAAUGUAAUAUAAUCCAAUCCUUGUACUUUGGUUGUUGGCAGAUGGGGUUUCCUGUAAGAUCUAUUCUGCAUAGCUUUGUCCAUUUUUUUAAUACAACCUCCAAAUCCUGCAAUUGAAACAACAACAGAACAUAGUGAUUAUGUUUUUCCCUCCAGAGUAAAAUUCAACAGUAAUGUGAUUUGUUCAACCAGGCACAAAUUCUGCACACAGAAAAAACUUCAAUGAGACUACUCUCAUGUAUUAUGCACAUUAAGAAUGUGCAUUUUCAAACAGAGUGGUCCACAGCAUCCCCUGAAUAUAUCAAAAUUGCACAGAAGAAACAAUGAUGCUGGAAUACGCUGCAUUUUUAAGGAUACAGUAAUGCCAGCUAUCAAAAUGACCACUUCAAUCCCACUGAUAAGCACCCAAAGCCUAGGAACUACCAAUGAAAAAAUUCCUAUUGUACACAAUGUCUGUUAAUGCCUCCCCGAGGUCUUACAGAGCCCUUAAGAGUACCAGCAUGUGGAAGAACAAUUACUUUAUACAGAUAAAGUACAGACUAAAAAAAAUAAGCUAAAAAUCAUGCAAGCCACAGUGAACUGCCUCUCUCUAUAUAUGUAGAACUGUAUUUUACAGAAGAAACAGUAAUCCCCCUCUACCUAACUGUGGGUGGUCAGUUACAGUAUUGGCCUACAGUGAAAUUAGUGAAAUAUACCUUUCCCCAUCUCCGUUUCUGUCUGGUUACCCAGGGGCAGUAUGACCUAGAUGAAACUACUCUGUCUUUCAAAUACAAUAAAUUCAAGUUGAAAACA